AUCAACUUUCGAUGGUAGGAUAGAGGCCUACCAUGGUGGUAACGGGUAACGGGGUGUUAGGGCACGACACCGGAGAGGGAGCCUGAGAAACGGCUACCACAUCCAAGGAUGGCAGCAGGCGCGCAAAUUACCCAAUCCCGACACGGGGAGGUAGUGACAAUAAAUAACAAUACGGGGUUCUUUCGGAUCUCGUAAUUGGAAUGGGUACAAUUUAAAUCUCUUAACGAGGAACAAUUGGAGGGCAAGUCUGGUGCCAGCAGCCGCGGUAAUUCCAGCUCCAAUAGCGUAUAUUAAAGUUGUUGCAGUUAAAAAGCUCGUAGUUGAAUUUCGGGGUCAGCAGGUUGGUCGUGCCAAUGGUAUGCACUGGCCUUGCUGAUUCCUCCCUCUUGAUGAACCGUAAUGCCAUUAAUUUGGUGUUGCGGGGAAUCAGGACUGUUACUUUGAAAAAAUUAGAGUGUUUAAAGCAGGCAAGCGCUUGAAUACAUUAGCAUGGAAUAAUGAAAUAGGACGUUCGAUCCUAUUUUGUUGGUUUCUAGGAUUGACGUAAUGAUUAAUAGGGAUAGUUGGGGGCAUUAGUAUUCAAUUGUCAGAGGUGAAAUUCUUGGAUUUAUUGAAGACUAACUACUGCGAAAGCAUUUGCCAAGGAUGUUUUCAUUAAUCAAGAACGAAAGUUAGGGGAUCGAAGACGAUCAGAUACCGUCGUAGUCUUAACCAUAAACUAUGCCGACUAGGGAUCGGAUGAUGUUAAUUUUUUAAUGACUCAUUCGGCGCCUUACGGGAAACCAAAGUGUUUGGGUUC
rnacentral:rRNA from 1 species